rnacentral:rRNA from 1 species
UACGUAGGGUGCAAGCGUUAAUCGGAAUUACUGGGCGUAAAGCGUGCGCAGGCGGUGAUGUAAGACAGGUGUGAAAUCCCCGGGCUUAACCUGGGAACUGCAUUUGAGACUGCGUAGCUAGGGUGCGGAAGAGGGAAGCGGAAUUUCCGGUGUAGCGGUGAAAUGCGUAGAUAUCGGAAGGAACACCAGUGGCGAAAGCGGCUUCCUGGUCCAGCACCGACGUUCAGGCACGAAAGCGUGGGGAGCAAACAGG